CCCUGUAGAAAGAGCCCGCCCCUGCAAAAGCAUGUACGGUUUAGAAACCUGGCUGAGAAAAACAGAGGAUCAGAAGGUCUGAGGGAGGAAACAGAGGGGCAAGUUUGAGGGAGCUGGGCAGGGCCGCCUGGCCACCAUCAGGGCUGAGCAGGCUCAGUGUGGCACCACUGACAGCUUCUCACCAGGACUAUCAGACCGCUUGGGAAAAAGACUUCACCAUGAGUUGUGUGUUCAUACCUUUUGAUCCAGUAAAAGGAAACGGUUGGGGGUGGGGGUGGGGGGCAAGAGUAUACAUUUUGUGAAAGAAAAAAUACACAAAAAGAUGUUUUGUGGCAUUUGGGUUUGUGAGUUCGAGAACUGAAAAACGGCAUUUUAUGUAUAAUGGAAAGCCUCUUUACUGCUGUAGAGUGAAAAGCAGGCUGGCUUUCAGUGCGACGGUCACAAAUGUGGGGCUUUACAGUACUUGGAAUGUACAGGACGCCCUUAAAAGCCAAGAAGCUUGCCUUUGCUUUGUUUACAUCAGUGCAUUAUGAUUUUGAGCCAUUAUAUCUCUUCAUAAUUGCCACUGUUUUAGGGCUUAUGAAAUUUAAAGUCUUAACUUGUGUGUUAACCAGCCAAAUCUUUGCAAGUGUCUGUGUGUGGUACGAGAAUUCGUAUUGUGUUCUCUGCUGUUUUCAGAGUUGUUUCAGUCAAAGAAAAAAAAAUGCCCGUCUUAAAACUUUUCCUCUGCUUCAAAUACAGCUCCCAAGCCCAGGCUGAUUGGAAUUAAUCUGUCCUCCCUUAAAAGGGCAAAAGCACAAGGCUCAGCCCUGGCUUUCCCAGCUCCUCUGGUCUCGCUGCUCCACGGACGUGUGACGUACGCUGGUGA
rnacentral:lncRNA from 1 species